rnacentral:lncRNA from 1 species
UCAGUCAAUCACUAAUCAUAUCUUUGUCGUGUACGGAAGUAUAAACAGGUGGAGAGAGUACAUGUUUUUUUCAAUCAGUCAAUCAACUAAUCAAUUAUCUUUGUCUUGUACAAUAUAAACAGGUGGAGAAGUACAUGUUUUUCAAUCGGUCAAUCAACUAAUCCAUUAUCUUUGUUUGUACGUAUCCCACAGGGAGCGUACAUGUUUUUCAAUCAGUCAUCACUAUC